rnacentral:rRNA from 1 species
GACGAACGCUGGCGGCGUGCUUAACACAUGCAAGUCGAACGGAAAGGCCCUGCUUUUGUGGGGUGCUCGAGUGGCGAACGGGUGAGUAACACGUGAGUAACCUGCCCUUGACUUUGGGAUAACUUCAGGAAACUGGGGCUAAUACCGGAUAGGAGCUCCUGCUGCAUGGUGGGGGUUGGAAAGUUUCGGCGGUUGGGGAUGGACUCGCGGCUUAUCAGCUUGUUGGUGGGGUAGUGGCUUACCAAGGCUUUGACGGGUAGCCGGCCUGAGAGGGUGACCGGCCACAUUGGGACUGAGAUACGGCGCAGACUCCUACGGGAGGCAGCAGUGGGGAAUAUUGCACAAUGGGCGGAAGCCUGAUGCAGCAACGCCGCGUGCGGGAUGACGGCCUUCGGGUUGUAAAACGCUUUCGCCUGUGACGAAGCGUGAGUGACGGUAAUGGGUAAAGAAGCACCGGCUAACUACGUG